rnacentral:sRNA from 2 species
CGCCCGUCAAACCAUGGGAGCUGGUAAUGCCCGAAGUCGGUUUAUAAACAAACUGCCUAAGGCAGGACUGGUGACUGGGGUUAAGUCGUAACAAGGUAUCCCUACGAGAACGUGGGGAUGGAUCACCUCCUUUCUACGGAGUACAAAAACACUUUGUAGUGUUAUUAACCUUAUUUCACUAGACCUAUUUAUAUAUUUUUGUUAUGUGGCUUUUUUUGGGUCUAAAGCUUUAUAUCUAGUUUUGAGAGAACAAUAUUUUUUCUCUCUAAUGUUCUUUGAAAACUGAAUAGUAAAUUUUUUGAUAUUUACAACGACAUCAAAAUUAAAUUAAAUGGUUAAUUUGUUUUGAUUUCAUCGAGAAAAAAUCAUAUUAUUAUGAUUCAUUGAAAUGUCUUAAAAUACACAUCAUAACAAACUAUAACAAUAGGAAAAUACUUUUAAAUAAGGAAGAGUUUGUGGUGGAUGCCUUGGGUCUGAAAGUCGAUGAAGGACGUGAUUACCUGCGAUAAGCCUCGUGGAGCCGGAAAUAUGCUAUGAAACGGGGAUUUCCGAAUGGGGAAACCUAGCUAGGGUAAUGCCUAGUUGCCAUGUUUUGAAUACAUAGAAACUUGAGCGAGACACCUUGUGAACUGAAACAUCUUAGUAGCAAGAGGAAGAGAAAAUAAACAAUGAUUUCUUUAGUAGCGGCGAGCGAACGAGAAAGAGCCCAAACCCAGCAAUGGGGGUUGUAGGACGAUCUACAUGAAGUUACAAAAUUUAAUGAUAGCAGAAGCUUUUGGGAAGAAGCGGCACAGAGGGUGAUACCCCCGUAUGUGAAAUUAUUAAAUCUUCUGAUCGUAUCCUGAGUAGGGCGGGGCACGUGGAACCCUGUCUGAAUCUGCCGGGACCACCCGGUAAGGCUAAAUACUAAUCAGACACCGAUAGUGAACUA